rnacentral:rRNA from 1 species
GACGAACGCUGGCGGCGUGCUUAACACAUGCAAGUCGAACGGUAAGGCCUUCGGGUACACGAGUGGCGAACGGGUGAGUAACACGUGGGUGAUCUGCCCUGCACUUUGGGAUAAGCCUGGGAAACUGGGUCUAAUACUGAAUAGGAUCAUGGCCUUCAUGGGUUGUGGUGGAAAGCUUUUGCGGUGUGGGAGGGGCCCGCGGCCUAUCGGGUUGUUGGGGGAGUAAUGGCCUACCAAGGCGACGCCGGGUAGCCGGCCUGAGAGGGUGUCCGGCCACACUGGGACUGCGAUACGGCCCAGACUCCUACGGGAGGCAGCAGUGGGGAAUAUUGCACAAUGGGCGCAAGCCUGAUGCAGCGACGCCGCGUGAGGGAUGACGGCCUUCGGGUUGUAAACCUCUUUCAGUAGGGACGAAGCGCAAGUGACGGUACCUAUAGAAGAAGGACCGGCCAACUACGUGCCAGCCGCCGCAGUAAUAC